rnacentral:rRNA from 1 species
AUGCCGUCCUCCAGGGCCCCUUGUUGGGUCGCGCUGCUCCUCUUCGUUGCUCUGGUUGCCACCGCCAAUGGCAGCGAGCUCUUCGCGGGUUACUACGAGAAGACGUGCCCCAACGUGCAGCAUGUCGUGCGGUCAGUGAUGGCGAGCAGGGUCGCCGCCCAGCCGAGGAUGGCGCCGGCCGUCCUCCGCCUCUUCUUCCAUGACUGCUUCAUCAACGGAUGCGAUGCUUCCAUUCUCCUGGACGCAACUCCCUUCUCCCCCGGCGAGAAGGAUGUGAAGCCGAACGCCUCCCUCACCGGCUACACCGUCAUCGACGACAUCAAGUCCGCGCUAGAGCACGACUGCCCGGCCACUGUCUCCUGCGCCGACGUCAUCGCCCUUGCGUCCCGCGACGCAGUCGCCCUGCUCGGAGGUCCCACCUGGAGCGUGCCCCUCGGCCGCAAGGAUUCGCGCUUCGCCGCCGACCCGGAGUCCACCAAGAAAGGCCUCCCCAGCCCCAAAGACGACCUCGCCGAGCUAGUCACCAUGUUCGCAGAGCUCAACCUCGACGCUCGUGACAUGACCGCGCUCUCCGGUGCCCACACUGUCGGGAUGGCCAACUGCGAGACCUACAGGGACCGUGUCUACGGCCCCAAUGGCGACAUCGACCCCUCCUUCGCACAGACCACGCGACAGACGUGCCAGGGUACUUCUGGUAAGGCGCCGUUCGACGCGCAGACGCCGAUGAGGUUCGACAACGCUUACUACCGGAACCUUAUCGCGCGGCGUGGUCUCCUCACCUCCGACCAGACCCUAUACGGCGGUGGAGGUCUGCAGGACAAUCUCGUGGAGAUGUAUAGCGCCGACGGUGAGGCGUUCACGAGGGACUUCGCCAAGGCCAUGGUGAAGAUGGGAAACAUACCUCCGCCCAAAGGAAUGCCAGUGGAGGUGAGGCUCAAGUGCUCCAUGGCCAACCACUGA